rnacentral:rRNA from 1 species
AUGAACGCUAGCGGCAGGCUUAAUACAUGCAGGUCGAGGGGCAGCAGGACUGUAGCAAUACAGUUGCUGGCGACCGGCAAACGGGUGCGGAACACGUACGCAACCUACCCAAAACUGGGGGAUAGCCCGGGGAAACCCGGAUUAAUACCUCGUAACCUUUUUAAGUGGCAUCACUUGAUAAGUAUAGCUCCGGCGGUUUUGGAUGGGCGUGCGCCUGAUUAGGUAGUUGGUGCGGGUAACGGCCCACCAAGCCUGCGAUCAGUAACUGGUGUGAGAGCACGACCAGUCACACGGGCACUGAGACACGGGCCCGACUCCUACGGGAGGCAGCAGUAAGGAAUAUUGGUCAAUGGACGCAAGUCUGAACCAGCCAUGCCGCGUGAAGGAUGAAGGUCCUCUGGAUUGUAAACUUCUUUUAUGGGGGACGAAACCCGGAUAUUCUUAUCCGAUUGACGGUACCUCAGGAAUAAGCACCGGCUAACUCCGUG